rnacentral:misc_RNA from 1 species
GCGAGAUUUAGCUGAGAUUUUGCCGUUUCGGUUUUGAUUUUGGCCUUGUGUUGUUUGAUUUUUCCUUGUGGAAAUUUGAAUUUCGUACUUGAAAUGACAAGAUCGAUUGCGUUUUGAGUAGAACUGUAGUUAUUUGACAUGCUUUUUUUUGAGUGAGAAUUACAUAUAAAUCAGUAUAUGCAUGCAUAUUGAAUGUGUAAUUGUUAUGUAUACGUUGUAUUUGUAUGUAUGAGCUUGUUUAUUUAGGCAUAGAUUUGUAGAAUUUGAAUGUGCGAUCUUCGUUGUGUGAGUGAUUGAAUUUGCAUGAUCGAUCAGUUUUUUUUUUUUUUGGGCAAUGUUGUAAAAUAUAUAGUGUUAAUUAUACAACCAAAAAUUGAAAAAUGGAUUAAUGCUUAUUUUAUUGUGGUUCAAAAAAGUUGAUUGUGGUGGGCAAAUUGUGUAAAUUAAUUACAUGAUUGUGUAUUGUUAAAAAUUAUAUUGUGGAGUUAAAUGGUUGUAAUAUUUGAAUUACCAUCUGUGUUGUACAUUGCCAGGUGAAUAUAAUUUAUGAAUUAUGAGUGAAAACAUGUAACUGAACUCAUGUAUACUAUUUGGAUGCUGAUAUUGAUGCAAGAAUUUCUUAAUGAGCUUUUGUCACCUUCAUCUGAUUUUGUUAAACAAGGCACUGGAGAUGACAUACAGAACAUUCAAGAUGAAUGAUGUAAAUUCUCAACUAUGUAAUAAUGAUUAAGGAUGCAGAAUAGUUAUUAGACAGGUGGAAAUCAGUGUAAUAAAGCUGAAUGACAGAGGUAUUAUUUUGAUGCCAUAGUAGUUGCAAUGCACAAGAUCUGUAGUUCCUGUUUAAUACAUUGCUGACGUUUUGAUGGGGUGGAAAUUUUCUUAUAAUAUGGUCAGGGAUAUUGUUUCUUACAGUGGAAUUUAACUGCCAUGUACCAAAUUUCACUGAUCAGAGGAAAAGAGAAAGAAACAAAGUAUAUGACAUGUGGCUUAUGAUAGUUUAUCCAAUUACUUGCAUCAUUGCUUUUAUGAUAAGAUUUUGUGCUUUUCAUUAGGGUUAGUGAUAUUCUCUGGCUGAAAAAUUGAUAUUUGUUCCAAAUAUCAUAAUCAUUGUUGAAGUUUUUUUAAUUCAUCCUCCGAUUUUCUAAGUAGAAAAUUACAUUCUCUCGAAGAAAUUUUUUCUUUCUUUUGAUGUUUCAUUUUCACAUUUUUUAACCAUAAACUGAUGGCCUUCUUGGCAGGUUAAGAUUCACCUGAAGUAGGCUGUAGGAGUGCUUUGCUACGCGAUCAAUUGUAUCUCUGGACAGCUGGGUUAUUAAUGACUGUACUAGACAAGUUUAUGACCAUCCUGAGCUGCUUGAGGCUUUGUAACCUACAAUUUGCGUGCAUGUGAUAAGAGUCUUGUACUUGGGUUGUUGUGGGCGGUAAUGUGUCCUUUUUUGGUGCAAGGAUAUCUUUGCUGGUGCAUUCUUUUGGGCAGUCUUUGUACGUCUACUCUUUCUCAUAGUUCAGGGCAGUAUAGAGGUGGGGGUUGGUCAGGGAAUUGGCUGCAUAAUUCUGGUUCAAUUUUAAGCAAUGAUUCUAGAAAUGGCAUGUCGAACUAUGGCAAAUUGAAGGAAUUUUCUUUCCCAUUAAACAAUUCUGUAUCUUGUGAGGACCUACAAGGAGUUGGAUCAUUUAAUACCACCUGCUUGCUAAAUUCAAACUUGUAUUUGGAUUCUGAUCUUUACAUAUAUGGUACAGGAAACCUGGAGAUACUCCCCCAUAUUUCAAUUGUGUGUCCCUUGGAAGGCUGUAUGAUUAUUUUUAAUAUGACUGGCAAUGUUAACAUUGGUCAAUACGCAACUAUUGUUGCUGGUUCAGUUGUUUUUGCUGCUGCCAACUUGACCAUGGGGCAUGAUUCUUCUAUAAAUACAACUGCCUUAGGGGGAUUGCCACCUCCUCAAACUAGUGGUACACCAGUUGGGUAUGAUGGAGCUGGUGGAGGUCAUGGUGGUCGAGGUGCUUCCUGUCUGAAAAAGAAUAAGACAAAUAAUUGGGGUGGUGAUGUUUAUGCUUGGUCAACUUUAGCUGAGCCAUGGAGCUAUGGGAGUAAGGGUGGUGGCUCCUCUCCUGAUAAUAAGUUUGGAGGGAAUGGUGGAGGACGUGUCAAGCUUCAAGUGAAGGACCUACUAUACUUGAAUGGAUCUGUCACUGCAGAAGGUGGGGAUGGGGGAGUGAACAGGGGAGGUGGUUCUGGUGGAAGUAUCUUUAUACAUGCUGUAAAGUUGAAGGGAUAUGGUAUCAUAAGCGCAGCAGGUGGGAGGGGAAGGGGUGGAGGUGGUGGCGGAAGAAUUUCUCUUGAUUGUUACAGCAUACAGGAAGAUGUGAAAGUUGCUGUUCAUGGUGGCCUGAGUAUUGGUUGUCGUACAAAUGCUGGUGCAGCUGGUACAUUCUUUAAUGCAGAUUUACUGAGUUUAAGAGUGGGCAAUGACAAUGUGACAACAGAAACAGAAACCCCUUUGCUAGAUUUCCCUACUACACCUCUGUGGUCAAAUGUUUUCGUGGAGAAUAAUGCAAAAGUUUUGGUUCCACUGCUUUGGACUAGAGUGCAGGUCAGAGGCCAACUCGGUGUAUAUCGUGGAGGCAGUAUUGCCUUUGGAUUGUCUGCAUACCCAGUAUCAGAAUUUGAGCUGGUGGCAGAAGAACUUCUGAUGAGCGAUUCAAUAAUAAAGGUGUUUGGUGCAUUUAGAGUUGCUGUCAAAAUGUUACUCAUGUGGAACUCCAAAAUUGAAAUUGAUGGAGGUGGAAACACUUUUGUUAUUGCUUCCAUCCUUGAAGUCAGGAAUCUGAUUGUUCUACGGGCUAAUUCUGUCAUUAGCUCAAAUGCAAAUUUGGGGGUAUAUGGGCAGGGGCUACUGAGGUUGACAGGUCAUGGUGAUGCAAUCAAAGGCCAGCGACUCUCCCUUUCUCUCUUCUACAAUAUAACUGUUGGACCAGGUUCAUUACUACAGGCUCCAUUGGGUGAUGAUGCUGGCAGAAGUGUGGUUACACAAUCACUCUGUCAGAGUCAGACAUGCCCAGUAGAUUUGAUAACUCCUCCAGAUGACUGCCAUGUUAAUUAUACACUUUCCUUUUCUCUUCAAAUUUGUCGUGUUGAGGAUCUCCUUGUGAGUGGCAUUGUCAAGGGGAGUAUUAUUCACAUCCACAGGGCAAGAACAAUCAUUGUUGAUACUAGUGGCUUGAUUACUGCAUCAGGAUUAGGUUGUAGUGAAGGUGUUGGAAAAGGAAACUAUUCUAAUGGGGCUGGCAGUGGAGCUGGGCAUGGGGGACGAGGGGGCUCAGGAUACUUUAAUGGCAUUAUGAGCGAUGGUGGUAAUAAGUAUGGUGAUGCUUCUCUUCCUUGUGAGUUGGGAAGUGGAACUGAGGGUCCUGAUCAGUCAUACGGGAAUGUGGUUGGAGGGGGAAUGAUUGUGAUGGGUUCCAUCCAGUGGCCACUUCUAAGGCUCGAUCUUCAUGGAUCUUUGAAGGCUGAUGGUCAAAGCUUUGAUAAAACAUCAACUAAUAGUAAUCAUUCUUUGGUUGGUGGACUUGGUGGAGGUUCUGGUGGGACAAUCCUUCUUUUCCUUCAGGAGCUUGUGCUUGCAGAGAAUUCUUGUUUAUCUGUCCUUGGGGGGAGUGGUGGCCCUCUUGGUGGUGGUGGAGGUGGGGGUGGGAGGGUUCAUUUUCAUUGGUCUAAGAUAGAGAGUGGGGAUGAAUACAUUCCAGUUGCAAGUGUAGGUGGUUCAAUCAACAGUAGUGGAGGUGCUGGCGAUAAUGGUGGUCUUUUUGGGGAGGAAGGCACUGUUACUGGCAAAAAAUGUCCAAAAGGUCUCUAUGGUACAUUUUGCAAGGAAUGCCCUGUUGGCACUUACAAAGAAGUCGAAGGCUCUGAUGAAAGUCUUUGCACUCCUUGCUCUUUUGAGCACCUCCCUAAUCGUGCGAAUUUCAUUUAUGUGCGAGGAGGAGUUAGUGGGCCACCUUGUCCCUACAAAUGCAUAUCUGACAAAUACAGGAUGCCAAAUUGCUAUACUCCUCUUGAGGAGCUGAUAUAUACAUUUGGAGGCCCUUGGCCAUUUGCCCUUCUUCUGUCCUGCCUCUUGGUGCUUCUAGCUCUAUUGUUGAGUACGCUGAGAAUAAAAUUGGUUGGAUCAGGAUCUUCUUAUGGUGUACACUCAAUUGACCACCAAAGUCAUCACCAUUUUCCACAUUUGCUUUCCUUGUCAGAGGUGAGGGGAACUAGAGCUGAAGAAACCCAGAGCCAUGUCUACAGGAUGUACUUUAUGGGUCCAAAUACUUUUAGGGAGCCCUGGCAUCUUCCUUACUCUCCACCCAAUGCAAUUAUUGAGAUUGUGUAUGAAGAUGCUUUUAACAGAUUCAUUGAUGAGAUAAACUCUGUUGCUGCAUACGAUUGGUGGGAAGGUUCAGUCCAUAGCAUACUUUCAGUGCUUGCCUAUCCUUGUGCCUGGUCCUGGAAACAGUGGCGCCAGAGGAAUAAAAUUCAUCGACUUCAGGAAUAUGUCAAGUCUGAAUAUGACCAUUCUUGUCUCCGCUCUUGCCGAUCACGAGCACUGUAUAAAGGGAUGAAGGUUGGAGCAACACCAGACUUGAUGGUUGCAUAUAUUGAUUUUUUCCUUGGUGGUGAUGAGAAGCGCUUAGAUAUUGUAUCUAUAAUAAAAAAGAGAUUCCCUAUGUGCAUAAUUUUUGGUGGGGAUGGGAGCUAUAUGUCACCUUAUAGUCUUCAUAGUGACUCAUUGCUGACCAAUCUUCUUGGACAGCAUGUCCCACCAUCUGUCUGGAAUCGUUUGGUGGCUGGUUUAAAUGCUCAGUUGAGGACUGUGAGGCAUGGGUCUAUCCGCUCUGCACUGCUCCCAGUGAUUGAUUGGAUCAAUAGUCAUGCAAAUCCCCAACUUGAUUUCCAUGGGGUUAAGAUAGAGCUUGGAUGGUUCCAAGCUACUGCCUCUGGUUACUAUCAGUUGGGUAUCUUGGUAAUGGUUGGUGAAUAUUCUUUCUACAGUAUGCACCAGUCUGAUUUGUUAGAUAGAAUCAACAGUGAAUGUGCAAGGAAGAGUGCCUCUUGCACAAGCAGAAGUCUUAAGCAGCUGCAACAGGAUCGUCCAUACAUGAGUCAAGUUUUAUCUCGUAAAAAGAUGACUGGAGGAAUUAAUGGAGGUCUGAUAAAUGAUGCUACCUUGAAAUCUUUGGAGUAUAAAAGAGACUUUCUCUUUCCAUUUUCACUCUUAUUGCACAAUACAAGACCUGUUGGGCGACAGGACACACUUCAGCUUUUCAUAACUAUCAUGCUUUUGGCAGAUCUUUCCAUCACUCUCCUUGCUUUGCUUCAGUUCUAUUGGAUUUCUCUUGGCGCUUUCCUUGCAGUCCUGCUUAUUCUUCCUCUAUCCUUGCUUUCUCCAUUUCCCGCUGGUUUGAAUGCCUUAUUCAGCAGAGAACCUAGAAGAGCUUCACUUGCUCGUAUAUAUGCAUUGUGGAAUGCCACAUCUCUGUCUAACAUUGCUGUGGCUUUCAUCUGUGGCAUAGUUCAUUAUGGAUUUUCUUCUUUCCAGCCACCAGACAAGGAAAACACAUUGAACAUUAGAAGGGAGGAUGAUAAAUGGUGGUUGUUGCCAACGAUCCUUCUGCUAUUGAAGUCGAUUCAAGCUCGUUUUGUCGAUUGGCACAUUGCUAAUCUAGAAAUGCAAGACUUCUCUUUGUUCUGCCCAGAUCCAGACACUUUUUGGGCCCAUGAAUCUAGUUCUUGAUUCCAUGUUCAACACAUCAGAAUGAACUGUAUCUCUGGACUUCUCUAUCAAUGUUGAAACAGACCAAGAAAGAAGAGUCUUUUAUCUUCUGCUUCAUCCCAGGUGAGAUUGUGUCUUGCUGUGUAAAUUUUUUCCCACUGGUGUAAAGCAUUGAUUAUAGCUUGUGCAGUUUUCCUCCUCCUGUAAGUAUGGUCGUGUGCAGGACCCAUUCGAAUUAGGAUCAGUCUUAGCAAAUUUCGCAGUUCAUUGUUUAUAGUACCUACACUAGAUUGAAAUUAUUAAUGUAAGAUGAAAAAAUUUUGGUGUUCGCUUGUCCUACUCUCACUUUUUGCAAAAAUUCUAUUGCCAAUGGUCAAACUUUCAUGAUGUUGCUGGAUCAACGAUAUCAUCGAGACUUUUUUUCAAACUUGGUUAAAGCAGGCGGCUACGUAUUUUGUAGUCAUAGAUUGCGGAUUUGGUUUUUACCAAUAGCUUAGCUUUUUUAAAGGAGUGAUUUGCAAUGAGCUCUGAAAGCAUCAUAACUCAAAUCAAUUAAAGGUGGCAAAUGUGUCACGUAGGUUCAAGUCUUCGAUGUUGUUUGUUUGCUUUUUUUGGACGAGUUUAUUUCGAGUCAUUUGGGUCAUCUUUGAUCUUGUUUGUUUGUUUUUGAUUCCAAUUUGAGUCAUUUAGAGUUGUACAGGUUGAUUUAGAAUAUCCAUUAGAUCAAUA